rnacentral:rRNA from 1 species
GGGUCUAUCCAUUGGUCGGGCUUUACGGUCCGUACUGGUUCGAUGGGUUCCUACCUUCUGAAUAACCGGCAUGCCAUUCAGUUGGUGCGCCGGGGAAGCAGAGCUAUUACCUUGAAAAAAUUAGAGUGCUUAAAGCAGGCUAUUGCUUGAAUAGAUUAGCAUGGAAUAAUAAAAUAGGACGGCAUGGUUCUACUUUGUUGGUCUCUAGGAUCACCGUA